AACCGUGGGCACUGCUGAAUUUGAAUUGAGGGGCGAGGGAAAAGUUUUCCUCAGGUGUGGUGGGGUGAGGGAGGCGGAUGCCGGGAAACCGUAGGGACGUGGUCAGAAAGGCGACGGGCUGUCGGAGUUGGAAAGGUAAAGUUGGAGGCUCGGCGGCGUCCUGCCUCCGCGCUGGCCACACCCGCCGCGGCUGCCCGGGGCAGGGAGGGAUCUGGCUGAUUCUCCCUGUACCCUGUGCCCUCGGAGCUGCCCCUCCGAGCGCCCAGAGGUCCCCGCCUGCCUGCUUCCUGGAGGCAGGGCUACCAUCAGUCCCACGCCUCGCGUGUCCGCCCCCCGCACCCCGGGGCCAAGGAAAGGGAUCGCGGUCUGGACUCUCCGGGGAGUUCCCUUGAUGAGGGGAAGGGCAGGUUUGGGGACGGCGAGGACACGCGGCGACCGGAGAGAGGCUACCUGACCCGCGCAGCCCGGACUCCCUUCCCUUCCCUUCCAGGGACGCCUGGUUUCCCCCCAAGCGAACCGGGAUGGGAAGUGACUUCAAUGAGAUUGAACUUCAGCUGGAUUGAAAGAGAGGCUAGAAGUUCCGCUUGCCAGCAGCCUCGUUAGUAGAGCGGAAUGAGUAAUACCCACACGGUGCUUGUCUCACUUCCCCAUCCGCACCCGGCCCUCACCUGCUGUCACCUCGGCCUCCCCCACCCGGUCCGCGCUCCCCGCCCUCUUCCUCGCGUAGACCCGUGGGAUCCUAGGCGGCAGGACUCAGAGCUAAGGUAUCCACAGGCCAUGAAUUCCUUCCUAAAUGAGCGGUCAUCGCCGUGCAGGACCUUAAGGCAAGAAGCAUCGGCUGACAGAUGUGAUCUCUGAACCUGAUAGAUUGCUGAUUUUAUCUUAUUUUAUCCUUGACUUGGUACAAGUUUUGGGAUUUCUGAAAAGACCAUACAGAUAACCACAAAUAUCAGUUAUUGAUAGAGAAAUUGAGAAAACUGAAACGUGACCGGAGUAUUGGAAAUAACGUAGUACAUCACCUAGCACAAUGACACAUAGUAGGUGCUCAAUAAAUUUAUGCUUAUGAUUUUUGUCACUUCUAUGGCAGGAUUUUUUUAUUAGGUUAAAAUUAUCUUUUAAACACCUUCCGGAAUUUUAGAAUAUUCAUUAAUAAUGUCUUCAAACCUUUCAACUGAAAUAAAUUUACAGCUGAAGUCUGAUGAUUUAAAGUUAGAAAGUUUAAUCUUGAAUAUAAAUGAACAUUUUCUCUCCCACAUUUUCUUGGGCAUUUUGAGAAGUAAAUGCGUUAUUUAUUGGUCCAUGAAAUGUGACUGUAAAUAUUCUUUGCUAUACAUUAUGUCUAUAUAUCUGCAUUCAUCCUCAAUGCCAAAACUAGAAUCAUUAGUCUUAAUGAUCAUUUUAAGUACAGGCAGUCCUCGCUUUCCUUGAUACCAUGUUAACCGAAACUUGUGUAUGUCAACACGGUGUCCUUGCUUUGCUUGGUUAAGUGUGAGUUCUUCCUCCCUUUUUUUAAGAGUUGUACAAUGUUUUUUAGUCGCCUACCGAAUCAGGUCAUAGACUAUGGAAUUGACCCCACCCCACCAACAUUUUUACAGCUAUCCUGAUUUCUGACCAGAAAGGAAAAAAAAAACUUUCCAGCUCUAUCACACAUUUUACCUACUCUUAAACUUAGGAGGUAUUACAAAUAGCAUUUUCUCAUGUUCUCUUUCUGGCCUGUACCACCCUGCUAAGCUUCCUUCAGUGUUCAUCCUCACCUCAUAGAGAGAUGAAGUGAAGAGACAAACAGAAGUCAUUUUCUUCCUUACUUUAGUGGUUUCUGGUUUAGUUAGUUUGGGCCAAACUGUGUGGACAAGUACCUUUUCAGGUAACUUUUUUUCUUAUUUCUAUGUCCUCAACACCUAGUGGAGUACGUAGCCAAUAGUAGAUGCUUAAUAAACAUUUCUUAAAUUAAUAUUGUUGACCUUUUCUGACCCUGUUCUUGACAGUAAGGUACAUAAUCUGCCUUCAUCCCUUUAGUCCUUAGGAACAGAUAAAGUCAUGGAUAUGAAAGUGAUCACUGUCAUUAAUAUCCACAUUAAAAUUGCUCUUGAUUUUAGUUUUUCCAUAAUCAUUUUCCCUAAACAAUGAACUCUGUUCACCUUUUUUUAAAAAAUAUGCACAGUGAAUAUUACUGGUAGCCCAAAUCUUCUAACAUAAAAUUUCCAUUUUGUAAAAGCUUCUGAUAAGCAUAUAUGUUAUGAAUUGAAUGUUUGAUUAUUAUACUUUAAUGUUCUUGAAAAUAUUGAUACCUGGACUGGAAAGAAAACAGACAAAAGUAAAUCUCAGAAUAAAUUACUGCUUUAAACAUGA
rnacentral:antisense_RNA from 1 species